GCAUUAUGACUAGUUGAAGUUCAGGUUUUCUAAGUGAGCAGCCUUCUUUAACCUGGUGCCCUCCAGAUAUUUGGACUUUUGCUUGUGUGCGUAUUCACAUGGGUUGUGUCCAAUGUUAAUUCGCACAAACAAAACUUUAUUGAGGUCCAUAGACCCAAAAUACACAAUACAACAAUAGUAUAUAUCAACAGUUAUUAAGGUGUAAGAUCAUCCUUGCUAGCCAAGAGAGGAACUUUAGCCUGUACAUACUGAUUUCUGAUUUUUACUGCCUCCCUCCAGAAGGAAUUUUGCUACAGCCCAGUGUAAUAGUGUCAAUCUUAUUCUCAAGGAGAACGUUGACAUGAAGUCCAAAUGCUAAUGAUAGGAGGAGUUAUUUAAAAAUAACCUCAUGGAAUAUUGCAGGCUGGGCCCACAAAAUCAGGGAUGGGCCCUUCUAUGAGUAUAUAAAGGGUUAUGAUGUGAUAGUGCUGUAAGAAACUUGGCUAACUGACAGCUUGUUAAUGUUAAUCCCAAUGUUAAUUCCCUGCAGAGGAGAUCCAUUGAAAUUAAUGGACCUUUGUUUGUUAUGUCCAUUUAUUUCAAUGGGCCUACUCUAAGGGCCCAUCCACACUUCCCUAAGAGCAUGGAUCCAAGGGGUUUUCUGUUUGUCCCAUGCUGUCUAAACAUGGCCCCAAAUAGUUUUUUGUUUGUCCAACUGCUUUCCCCAGAGAAACCCACUGAUUAUAUUGCUGAAUUGGAGCAAACGUCAGACUGAGGAGGGAAAUGUUUGACUUUGUUCUGAUCCAGCGGUAAACAGUGGGUUUUCUCAAGUGAAAGCAGCAGAGCAAGUAGGAGUGUGGAUGAGCCCUGAAUAGAACCAACAUUGGACAGAACCUCUCUAUAUAUUAUAUGGAGCCUGUAUUAUGCUUUAAUUAUGUGGUGCAUGUUCUCUGUGUACCCUUGAACAAGGUAUUCACCAGAUGGUUUUUGGCAUAUUGUUUUUAAUCCUCUCCACAAUUCUUCACCUUUUGGAAGGAGGGAUUCCUGUGUUGACAGCUUCUCCCCUUUCUGUCUCUCUCAUCAGAGUAAGUAACGUGGAGUAGACAGACUGUUGAAAUAAGACUCCUCUACCAUAUACGACCGUCUCUAUUUUUACCAAAGGGAGGGAGCACCAGCCACUCAUUGUGAAAUGUUGGGAGGAGAAGGUCCAGGGAAUUAGUGCUGAGAAGGACUACGGUGCACUGGAACAACAUCUGUUUUACAAUCUGAAGGUCACAGGUCUAACCCCCCUGCCAUCUCCACUGGGUGAGACCCCUCCCUGCAGCUGCAGAGAACUGCUGCCAGUCAGUCUACAAAGCAAUGAGCUGAUGGGCCAAUGGUCUGACUCUGUAAAAGGCAGCUUCCAAUGUUGCCAACCCCCAUUCUAAACCAGUUCUUCAUUGCCAUGUGGUCCAGUCCAUUUCUACCUUUCUUCCCCAUCUCCAAUCGUAGAUUCUUACUAUGCUUUUGAAGUUUCUUACUAAGUUUUUUGGGACGCGGGUGGCGCUAUGGGUAAAACCUCAGCGCCUAGGACUUGCCGAUCGUCAGGUCGGCAGUUCGAAUCCCCACGGCGGGGUGCGCUUCUGUUGCUCGGUCCCAGCGCCUGCCAACCUAGCAGUUCGAAAGCACCCCCGGGUGCAAGUAGAUAAAUAGGGACCGCUUACUAGCGGGAAGGUAAACGGCGUUUCCAUGUGCUGCGCUGGCUCACCAGAUGCAGCUUAUCACGCUGGCCACGUGACCCGGAAGUGUCUGCGGACAGCGCUGGCCCCCGGCCUCUUAAGUGAGAUGGGCGCACAACCCUAGAGUCGGACACGACUGGCCCGUACGGGCAGGGGUACCUUUACCUUUACCUUUACUAAGUUUUUAGAAAUGAUUUAUUAAUUUCCUCUGCUCAAGAGCUCUCAGUUGUGAGACCCAUUCACAUGAGCUCUGGAGGGAGGAAGUUAUUCUGUCUAACUAGCUGGCCAGUUUAGUAGCACGAAGGGAGGAACAAGGUGAUGGUGGAGCUUCACGUUGCUCCUUGAGAUCUUGCAGAAGUGUUUGCCCCAAUUGGCUAUGUCUCUAAAGUUCUUAUACUCCCUGCACAGUCUUUUAGAUUGAUUGGAGAUGUUCCUUUUGAACUGCAAGGACGAUGUGGUGAGUAAACCUGACAUGUCAGUCACACACACUUCCUGGGUUGUACGGCCUGUCAUCAUCCUUGGGUCUUAUCAGAGUGCCUCUAAGCAAAUGGGCACAACUGUCCUAGAAUGUGACAUUUCUUCCAAGGAAUGUUUUCUUACUUACUCUGAUAUUUUAAGUCCUGUUUAUUUAAGAUCACUGUCAGAGAUGAUAACAUUCCCUGCAGUGGUCACCUUUCUUUCAAAUGCACAUACAUCUUCUCAUUCAUCCAAAAUAGUAAUAUGGAAUGAGUAUAUUCAAGGAAUCUUCAGACUUGUUUUGCAAAAUGAUAGGUCCAUGGUAUUGCAGUGGGCUCAGUGCUGUUCUUUGAAGCUCUUAGCCUAGCGGACUGGGGUCACAUCCACACCAUACAUUUAAAUCACUGCUAUACUACUUUGGGACGAGGGUGGCGCUGUGGGUAAAACCUCAGUGCCUAGGACUUGCCGAUCGUAUGGUCGGUGGUUCAAAUCCCUGCGGCGGGGUGAGCUCCCGUUGUUCGGUCACAGCUCCUGCCCACCUAGCAGUUCGAAAGCACCCUUAAGUGCAAGUAGAUAAAUAGGUACCGCUUUAUAGCAGGAAGGUAACAGCGUUUCCGUGCGCUGCACUGGUGCUGGAUCGCCAGAGCAGCUUCGUCAUGCUGGCCAUGUGACCCAGAAGUGUCUCCGGACAGCACUGGCUCCCGGCCUCUUAAGCGAGAUGAGCACGCAACCCCAGAGUCGGUCAUGACUGGCCCGUACGGGCAGGGGUACCUUUACCUUUACCUUAUACUACUUUAGCAGCCAUGGCUUCCCACAAAGAAUCCUUACAGCUGUAGUUUGUUAAAGAUGCUGACCCUCACUGACCUACAAUUCCCAGUACUCUUAAGAAACUACAUUUCCCAGGAUUGUCCAUGACUGCUAAAGUGCUGCAAGAGUGCUUUAAAUGUAUGAUUUGAUUGUGACCUGAUCUGCUUUUUGUGUCUGCUUUUAUGGAUGGCAUGAUCGGUCAAUUCCAGUGCUCCAUUUCUCAUGUUUCCAGUCUUAAAUUAAGUUCUCCAUUUUUCUAGAACAAGCAAGCAAGCAAGCAAGCAAGCAAGCAAACAAACAAACCUUAAUGAAAAUGCACCAGUAUUUAGGUGCAAUCUCCUAAUAAACACAUUUUUAUGCAGUUUUUGAGUAACAGACGUUUGUUUGCAAGCAAUUACCUCUAACAUACUGUAUUUUUGUACGUGAUUUUCAUUAGUAUAGCCUUUUUCAUAACGCCUCCCCAAAUAAUAUAUGCAUAUUUGUAAACAUUGGUCAGAGAAGUACAUUGCAAAAUUCAGAGACAUGCAAAUUGCAAAGGCUAGCUGUGUUUUGGGUCUCAUUGAAAAAGUGUGGGGAAAUUGAGAACUGAUCACUAAUCUGAAUUAAAGAACCAGCCAAUGAGGCUUUUGAAAGGACUUCAAAAUUGCAGGCCUUCUGAUUCCUCUCCCCUUGCCAGCUUCCCCACCCCCUGCCCCUCCACCUCCGAUCCUUUCUGAAACAAGAUAUUAAAAAUAGCUGGGAAUAUUAAUUUGGCAGAUGGUUCCGCUUGGGCUUUGGGCAGGAGGCUGUGAAACUCUGCAGAGCCUCUGACCCUCGUCUCUAGCUCUAGCACACAGAGCUACAUCCUGGCUGUCAGCCAGCCAGCCAGCCAGCCAGCAUUUUCCUUAGGCUUUCUUGCUCUUGUUUCACUUAGUGAGCCUUGGCAGAAUUGUUCAGAUCUGAAGGGACCUGGGGUAGGUCAUCUGGGCCUAUCCUGCAUACAUCAUCAUGGAACACUCGGGUUUGCUAAAAAAAGGUUUGCUAAUUGUAAGCACUUUGUUUUUGUUUUUUUUAAAUGAUAUUUAUUAAGAAUUUUAAAAUUAC
rnacentral:lncRNA from 1 species